ACGUGUCCGACAUUGCUUUCUGCGGUUCCACGUCAGUUUUAGCUCCCUCCACCCCCGCAGGCCACGUUUAAAGGGCCAGUGCUGGGCGCUCAAUCCGGGAUGGCUUGGAGCCCGGAAGAUAGUUCCUGGAAGCCAGGGUAGGUAGGAGGCAUGAAGACUGGAGCCACACCUGUUCUUUGUGGGAAACCCAGGUGGAAACCCAGAUCCAGGUACACGUACAUUCCUCAGCAUCCCACUCACCUUCUGCCCCCUUGCAGCAGCUAGUUGCUGGGCAACCCAAGGUGGCAGUUCACCGCGGAAGGAGCUGGAAGUGCCUCUAGGUCUGGGAUUUAACCCGCGACUUGAGCUUGGUCUGGGAUCACUGCAUGUUGCUAAGCUCCUAAAACAAGGAAGGGGGGCUGACGCCUACCCACACGUAGCUUUCCAUGAAUCUGCAGAUCUCUUAGGUUUUCUUUCUUAACACUGUUCCCCUGCAAGUAACGGUUCACCUGCAGUGUCAUUACCUUUCAUUCCCCCACAAGUGGCAAAUUAUUUCCAUUCCUCAGAAAGGACAUCAUCGCCGGGGAGUUAGGGAGGUGACGCAGCCUACCACUUUGUCCAUCGGUUCAAAUACGACUUGUUCCAGGGGUCAUUGGGGGUUGACUGUUUUUAGAGCAAAUAUAGUCUUUCUUUUCCCUUAAAAUCAGAUGCGAAAUGUCUCUUCUACUUGAGUGUGACUGUAAUUAACAACAACAAACCAUAUUUAUAUAUCUAUAUCGUAGUGACCACUCUUCUUCAGCAUUCAAGCGGAUGCUUUGAACACAUAGCAGGAAAGGCACAAAAUUCAAUUGAGCCAAGUUUAUUACUCUCUUUGAUAAGUCUGAUAAUAAACUGGGCAUUUGUUUGUGUGUGUA